rnacentral:rRNA from 1 species
UACGAAGGGGGCGAGCGUUGUUCGGAAUCACUGGGCGUAAAGCGCACGUAGGCGGCGCGUUAAGUCAGGGGUGAAAUCCUGGAGCUCAACUCCAGAACUGCCUUUGAUACUGGCGUGCUCGAGUGUGGGAGAGGUUGGUGGAACUCCGAGUGUAGAGGUGAAAUUCGUAGAUAUUCGGAAGAACACCAGUGGCGAAGGCGGCCAACUGGCCCAUUACUGACUCUGAGGUGCGAAAGCGUGAGGAGCAAACAGG